GCUGGGUGUGGCAGCGUGUACCUGUAAUCCCAGCUACUCGGGAGGUUGAGGCAGGAGAAUUGCUUGAGCCCAGGAGGCGGAGGUUGCAGUGAGCCAAGAUCACGCCACUGCACUCCAGCCUGGGCGACAGAGCAAGACUCUGUCUCAA
ensembl:misc_RNA Metazoa_SRP Metazoan signal recognition particle RNA